AAUAAAUAGAUUCAUACAUAAAAAUAUUAAGAUUCAGAUUAAAAGAUUCAUACAUAAUUAGAUUCAGAUUCAUACCUAAUCAAAAUACAUAAACCCAGAAACAUAGUUGUAUCUAAUCGUACCAGUUGUACCUAAACACAGAUUUAUACAUCAACAUCACACACCAGCAUACAAGCGAUACUCAUCAUUAGAGACCAAAAUAGGAGCCGAACUCUUCUCUUGCUCCAUCUCCUUUGCCUGCUCUUGCUCCAUCUUCUUCUUCUCAUGCUCCUACUCCUUCUCCUUCUUCUUCUUCUCCUUUUCCUUCUCCUUCUCCUUCUCCUUCUUCUUUUCCUUCUUCGCCUUUUCUUCAGUACAAGGAGCCUUGACAUGGAUUGAAGGCUUUAGAUUCAUUUUCGGUGCCAAGUUACAUUUCUUCUUAGCACAAGUAUAUAUACAAAAAUAGAGAGAAAUUCAAAUCGAAAAUUGGGACAAAGUGAAUUUUAGAAGAGUAGAGAGAGGGCAGAGAUCAAUGGCGCAAUUAAAUAAUAAUUCAUAAGCCAUGGUUUUCUUGAAAAAGAAAUUAACAAAGUCAAAAGAUGUAAUGCUGCAUAGUUUAAGCUAUCAGAGGUAUUCCAGUCACUGAAAAAUGAAGACUUUGCUCUAUAAAUCUGUUCCAUACACAGCUACAAAAUCAUAUCUCUACUUAAGCAAAAGCAAAAUCAAUACUGAUAGAAAAUAAGUAAUCUUUAAACAAGUCAAACUUAAAUGUCAUCCUUCUUCUUAGUAUCGAUCUAAACAUGUACGAAUCAAAACUAGUAAACUUUUAAAGGCAAAUCCAAACUUAAAGCGAAACUAUUGAAUCCAAAGAAGAAGAGAAAGCUAAACCUUGGGAUCGUUAUGUUUCUUUUGAUCAAGCUGAAUCAGAAUGUCGAAACACUCUGAGAACGGCUGCGUCUUCGGAGAGUGACGACGAAUCUCUAGCAAAUUGUUUUUUGGGUUUUGUGAAUUGUGAAAUACGAAUGUUUUUCCAAGAACGCUAAAUCGAAAACCCUAUCAAAGUGAAUUUUAGAGGAGUAGCGAGAGGCGAGAGAUGGAAAUGGCGGUUCGUCGUUUUGUUUUAGAGAAAAGGGGAAAA
rnacentral:lncRNA from 1 species